UACGGAGGGGGCUAGCGUUGUUCGGAAUUACUGGGCGUAAAGCGCACGUAGGCGGCUUUGUAAGUUAGAGGUGAAAGCCCGGAGCUCAACUCCGGAAUUGCCUUUAAGACUGCAUCGCUUGAAUCAUGGAGAGGUGAGUGGAAUUCCGAGUGUAGAGGUGAAAUUCGUAGAUAUUCGGAAGAACACCAGUGGCGAAGGCGACGCACUGGACAUGUAUUGACGCUGAGGUGCGAAAGCGUGGGGAGCAAACAGG
rnacentral:rRNA from 1 species